rnacentral:rRNA from 1 species
CCUACGGGAGGCAGCAGUGGGGAAUAUUGCACAAUGGGCGAAAGCCUGAUGCAGCGACGCCGCGUGAGGGAUGACGGCCUUCGGGUUGUAAACCUCUUUCGACAGGGACGAAGCGUGAGUGACGGUACCUGUAGAAGAAGCACCGGCCAACUACGUGCCAGCAGCCGCGGUAAUC